rnacentral:rRNA from 1 species
CCUACGGGAGGCAGCAGCAGGGAAUUUUGCGCAAUGGGCGAAAGCCUGACGCAGCAACGCCGCGUGGGGGAUGAAGGCUCUUGGGUCGUAAACCCCUUUUGCCGGGGAAGAUAAUGACGGUACCCGGCGAAUAAGCCACGGCUAACUACGUGCCAGCAGCCGCGGUAAUACGUAGGUGGCAAGCGUUGUCCGGAUUUAUUGGGCGUAAAGAGCGCGCAGGCGGUUCGUUUAGUCCGAGGUGAAAUCUCCCGGCUCAACUGGGAGGGGUCUUUGGAUACUGGCGGACUUGAGGAGAGCAGAGGUGAGUGGAAUUCUGGGUGUAGUGGUGAAAUGCGUAGAUAUCCAGAGGAACACCAGCGGCGAAGGCGGCUCACUGGGCUCCACCUGACGCUGAGGCGCGAAAGCGUGGGGAGCGAACCGGAUUAGAUACCCGGGGUAGUCCACGCUGUAAACGAUGGGCACUAGGUGUGAGGGGUAUUGACCCCCUUUGUGCCGAAGCUAACGCAAUAAGUGCCCCGCCUGGGGAGUACGGCCGCAAGGCUAAAACUCAAAUGAAUUGACGG